rnacentral:lncRNA from 1 species
AAAAAUGAACAACGACAACUCCCUUCUAAAUUUAACCCUUAAUCCGAAUCUACAACCUCAAAGAAACAAACCAAAUGGAGCAGAUCUAAAAUCCCUAAACCGAAAAAGAAAAAAAAAACUAACAACUUAAAAAACACUCAAAAUUAUAAUAAACGGUGCGGUAUUCAUGCAUUCAUGCUAGUAUAAGGGCGAACCAGAAGAAUGAAAUGGAGAAAGUGAAACACAUACCGAGAAAGAAUAGAGAUGAAAGGGUGAUUU